rnacentral:lncRNA from 1 species
GCAAUAUUUUUCAUUAACUAAAUUUUUUCUUUGAACUGCACCUGCUCUCUUUCAAGUAAGGCACUAAGUAUGCAAUUGCUUUUGAAAAAUAGGUGAGUUUUUUUAAAGGAAUGAAUGGUGUUGAUAUUUGCAGAGAUACUGAAAUGAAAUCUACCAAAGAUUGACAAGAUAUUAGGGAAAAUAAUUUUUUAAAGACUAGACACUGCUAGUAUCUAAAGAAAUAGCAGGCUGAACAGCAGGCAAUCAAGUUUUUAAUUUUAAUGGAUUGGCUUAUACUUUGCCUCCUCCUAUAGACUGGUGCUUUUUGAAUGAAACUAUAUCUCCCUUUCCAUUUUGUGGGACUUAUGUUUAAUAAUACAAGAACUCAAACAUGAGAAAAGGG